GGGAGUAUCUCAGUGGUAGAGCACAUGCUUAGCAUGCACGAGGUCCUGGGUUCAAUCCCCAGUACUGCCA
rnacentral:tRNA from 1 species